AUUCCAGCUCCAAUAGCGUAUAUUUAAGUUGCUGCAGUUAAAAAGCUCGUAGUUGGAUUUCGGGUGGGAAUGGCCGGUCCGCCGUUUCGGUGUGCACUUGCUACGCCCACCUUGCUGCCGGGGACGUGCUCUUGAGUUCACGCUCGGGACACGGAGUCGGCGAGGUUACUUUGAGUAAAUUAGAGUGUUCAAAGCAGGCCUACGCUCUGAAUACAUUAGCAUGGAAUAACACGAUAGGACUCUGGCCUAUCUUGUUGGUCUGUAGGACCGGAGUAAUGAUUAAGAGGGACAGUCGGGGGCAUUCGUAUUUCAUUGUCAGAGGUGAAAUUCUUGGAUUUAUGAAAGACGAACUACUGCGAAAGCAUUUGCCAAGGAUGUUUUCAUCG
rnacentral:rRNA from 1 species